rnacentral:rRNA from 1 species
UGGCUCAGAUUGAACGCUGGCGGCAUGCCUACACAUGCAAGUCGAACGGUAACAGGUCUUCGGAUGCUGACGAGUGGCGAACGGGUGAGUAAUACAUCGGAACGUGCCCAGACGUGGGGGAUAACGAGGCGAAAGCUUUGCUAAUACCGCAUACGAUCUAAGGAUGAAAGCAGGGGACCGCAAGGCCUUGCGCGUUUGGAGCGGCCGAUGGCAGAUUAGGUAGUUGGUGGGAUAAAAGCUUACCAAGCCGACGAUCUGUAGCUGGUCUGAGAGGACGACCAGCCACACUGGGACUGAGACACGGCCCAGACUCCUACGGGAGGCAGCAGUGGGGAAUUUUGGACAAUGGGCGAAAGCCUGAUCCAGCAAUGCCGCGUGCCAGGAUGAAGGCCUUCGGGUUGUAAACUGCUUUUGUACGGAACGAAAAGGCUCUGGUUAAUACCUGGGGCACAUGACGGUACCGUAAGAAUAAGCACCGGCUAACUACGUGCCAGCCGCAGC